GACAGUGGUAGCUCAGUGGUUAAGGCUCCAGGUUACUGAUCAGAAGGUCAGGGGUUCAAGCCCCAGCACUGCCG